GUCAAGUCAUCAUGGCCCUUAUGUCCAGGGCGACACACGUGCUACAAUGGCCGGUACAAAUGGAAGCGACCCCGAGAGGGAGAGCGGAUCCCAGAAAGCCGGUCGCAGUUCGGAUUGAGGUCUGCAACUCGACCUCAUGAAGCUGGAAUCGCUAGUAAUCGCAGAUCAGCCAAGCUGCGGUGAAUACGUUCCCGGGUCUU
rnacentral:rRNA from 1 species